rnacentral:lncRNA from 1 species
GUCAGGAGCAGUACAAGGAGCUCCUCCCUUUACCUCUUGCAUUUCCAUUGCAUUUACUUCCUGUGAACAAGGGGAGCUUGUUCAACUUCUGCCUCGGAGGCUGGGUGCUCCUGGGCGCUGACGCCUGUCUCCUUCGCCCACAGCAGCAGCAGGAGAUGCUGGCCCUGAAGCACCAGCAGGAGCUCCUGGAGCACCAGCGCAAGCUGGAGAGGCACCGCCAGGAGCAGGAGCUGGAGAAGCAGCACCGUGAGCAGAAGCUGCAGCAGCUCAAGAACAAGGAGAAGGGGAAGGAGAGUGAGUGCCACGGCGGGGCGCGGGCGGGAGGGCGGGCGCA